GAAAAACUAAAGAGAGUCUAUCAAAACAGAUAAAUAAUGUGACAGGCUUUAAGUCUGGAUCUCCAGAGUUGAAUUGAGGCCACUUCUUCCUUGAAGAUUAGAUUAUUUCUAACUUUCUAGUUGUUCCAGGCAGCUAAGGCAAAAACAUCAAAGAAAAAGAGCUGCCGAAAUUGGAUCUAAGCUUAGGGAGAACUUCCAGACAAUUAAUGAGCAUUCUACAG
rnacentral:lncRNA from 1 species